GAUGAACGCUGGCGGCGUGCCUAAUACAUGCAAGUCGAGCGAACAGACGAGGAUCUUGCUCCUCUUCCGUUAGCGGCGGACGGGUGAGUAACACGUGGAUAACCUACCUAUAAGACUGGGAUCACUUCGGGAACCCGGAUCUAAUACCGGAUAAUAUAUUGAACCGCAUGGUUCAAUAGUGAAAGACGGUUUUGCUGUCACUUAUAGAUGUUUCCUCGCCGCAUUAGCUAGUUGGUAAGGUAACGGCUUACCAAGGCAACGAUGCGUAGCCGACCUGAGAGGGUGAUCGGCCACACUGGAACUGAGACACGGUCCAGACUCCUACGGGAGGCAGCAGUAGGGAAUAUUCCGCAAUGGGCGAAAGCUUGACGCAGCAACGCCGCGUGAGUGAUGAAGGUCUUCGGAUCGUAAAACUCUGUUAUUAGGGAAGAACAAAUGUGUAAGUAACUAUGCACGUCUUGACGGUACCUAAUCAGAAAGCCACGGCUAACUACGUG
rnacentral:rRNA from 1 species